rnacentral:rRNA from 1 species
UGGGGAAUAUUGGGCAAUGGGCGCAAGCCUGACCCAGCAACGCCGCGUGAAGGAAGAAGGCUUUCGGGUUGUAAACUUCUUUUCUAAGGGACGAAGGAAGUGACGGUACCUUAGGAAUAAGCCACGGCUAACUACGUGCCAGCAGCCGCGGUAAUACGUAGGUGGCAAGCGUUAUCCGGAUUUACUGGGUGUAAAGGGCGUGUAGGCGGGACUGCAAGUCAGAUGUGAAAACCAUGGGCUCAACCUGUGGCCUGCAUUUGAAACUGUAGUUCUUGAGUACUGGAGAGGCAGACGGAAUUCCUAGUGUAGCGGUGAAAUGCGUAGAUAUUAGGAGGAACACCAGUGGCGAAGGCGGUCUGCUGGACAGCAACUGACGCUGAGGCGCGAAAGCGUGGGGAGCAAACAGG